AGUUUUGUAGCUUAAUGGUUAGAGCGGAGGAUUCAUAUGUCUACGGUUACUGGUUCAAAUCCAGUCAAAACUA
rnacentral:tRNA from 1 species